AGUAAAAGCACGAGCUGUCACCUGGGAUUUCUUAGUUAUUGAACACUAGGAAAACCCAUACCACACACAAAUAGCAAAACCUGCUAUUUUAGCACAUGAGGGUACAACGCAAACGGGUGGUGAAGACUCUAGAGAGGGAGAGGCACCAUGAGGAGGCGUGAGGGGAGCCAGCGGCCCCUCAGGACAUGGCGGCUCCCCCUUCCCUGCCUCUGCGGUCCCUGAUUCAUUCCCACUGCCAGCUCCAAUACCCCAGGGGCAACGGCAGGAGUCAAAAUACCUCAGAGAACUGGCAAAACCCUCCUCCUGGGCUGAGACCAUGGCGGUCCUAUGGAGAAGACGCAGCCUCAGGCUGUGGUGGGAACGCCAGGGCCCCAGAAGAGCGUGAGGAGAUUUAGCUCUCUGACCUGGGGCACCCCGCAUGCUCAAUGGUCCAAAAGGAUUUCUACCUGUUUUCACACUGUAGUAUCACUGGUACCAGUGACAGCCUCAUCAUUUACCCUGCACUGAAAGAUGGGAAAAGUUCAGUCCCUGGGCCCAGUUUUCCCUGGAGCUGGGCUAGCUCCAGAAGUUUGAUGCUGGCUUUCAUAGCAGUCCUGGGAGUAAAGUGAAGGUGGGGAAAUAUCAGUAAGAAUCUGCUGCUUUCCACUAAAUAAAAACAUAUUUGUCACUAUA